AUACGUAGGGGGCGAGCGUUGUCCGGAAUGAUUGGGCCUAAAGGGCGCGUAGGCGGCCCGGUAAGUCUGGAGUGAAAGUCCUGUUUUUAAGAUGGGAAUUGCUUUGGAUACUGUCGGGCUUGAGUGCAGGAGAGGUAAGUGGAAUUCCCAGUGUAGCGGUGAAAUGCGUAGAGAUUGGGAGGAACACCAGUGGCGAAGGCGACUUACUGGACUGUAACUGACGCUGAGGCGCGAAAGUGUGGGGAGCAAACAGGAUUAGAUACCCUGGUAGUCCACACUGUAAACGAUGAAUGCUAGGUGUAGGGGGUAUCGACCCCUUCUGUGCCGCAGUCAACACAAUAAGCAUUCCGCCUGGGGAGUACGGCCGCAAGGUUGAAACUCAAAUGAAUUGGCGGGG
rnacentral:rRNA from 1 species